GACAGAGGAUGCAAGCGUUAUCCGGAAUGAUUGGGCGUAAAGCGUCUGUAGGUGGCUUUUUAAGUCCGCCGUCAAAUCCCAGGGCUCAACCCUGGACAGGCGGUGGAAACCGUUUGGCUAGAGUCCGGAAGAGGAGAGUGGAAUUCCCGGUGUAGCGGUGAAAUGCGCAGAUAUCGGGAAGAACACCCGUGGCGAAGGCGGCUCUCUGGGACGGUACUGACGCUGAGGAGCGAAAGCGUGGGGAGCGAACAGG
rnacentral:rRNA from 1 species